rnacentral:tRNA from 1 species
GAAAUAUAUCUAAAUAAAGCUGCUAACUUUAUUUUUAGUGGUUUAACCCAUUAAUAUUUCU